UCGUCUGGUGACGUCAGUUGAUAUGGACGGGUAUAAAUGGCGGGUAUAACGAUGGGCCGUCCAUUUACUCCUGGAGCGAGGAACGCCCAAUAAGGAAUCCGGUUGCCAAGGUUACAGACCUACCCGUAUUGAUGGCAAGAACUACGUGCCUAUUACUGCUUGGCUGUCUGCUGUCUCUCUCCAUGGCAAACACCCUCGACAGCCUUGUAAGACGGAACACCCCAAGAGGUCAUACUUUCAGCGCGUUCGUGGAGAUAUGCGAGUCAUGUGGCGAAUACUUCGGAAACAGUCUGUCAUACAGAUGCAUUAUGGACCGGUCAUUAACAACUUUCCGACAAUGCAAUACAGCAGUUGUGUCUGUCAAUAGGCGGCGCUGAUAAUGACGUCACUUCCGGACACUUAGAAUUACAUUACAGUUUUUGCUUUCUGUUUCAUUAAUUUAUUUUAUAUACUGCCAGUUCAUAUACUGAUGAAAUAUAAUUAAAAAUUGCAAAAUUUGAA